rnacentral:precursor_RNA from 1 species
GGUUCAAGUCCCUCUAUCCC